GAAAACGUUUCUAUGGAUGCUGUGAGAGUGGUGCUAACUACACACCGAAUGGAUAACGAGGUACGUUGGAGUCAUUAGGAGCAAAAGAAGGAGAAAUCGUCCAUUUGGAGCGAAAAUGGUAAAAAGGUCAAUGCACAUGCGAGUCAUGUUGGAGCUAGCUAAGGUUGCGCAUCAAGGGAGCGGAAGAAUAAAUUGUCAGUUUCCUGAAACUGACCAGCCAAAUGAUCUGAACAACCCUUAUCUAUUUCACCUGGGUGGAUGUAUCAAUUAUAUUUCCUACAGAAGACAUAAAUUUCAGAGAAAAAUCAUUUGUCUCAUCAUUAGCCUCUAUUUCGUUUUCUAUGCCUGUAAAGUGCAGCGGCACCUGACAGAGAAAUAAAGAGAUUCAGUAGAUGAAAUUGGUGGUAGUGAAAAGUUGCUGCUUCCAUGGUUGAACUGGGGUUGAUUAGACACAAAAAGUGAUUGAAGAGGAGGCUGAAAUCGAUUUACAGAUGGAGAAGAAGAUUAAACAGAUUGGAUCCGAGACUGAGAAGGAGAUUGAAUUCAAGAGUCUCUGUGUGAUGGGUUUGUUGAGUCGUGUGUUUGAUUGAUACUAUUGGUGCUGCUAUUGGGAAAUUGAUGGAAUUAAAUUAGGGAUUCUGAUGAUUUAAAGCAUAUGGGUUUAUUGAUUUGAGUCAAGAAAUAGAAGAAGAGGAUUUUUUGAUGUUCAAAAUGAGUUUGAAUUUGAGUUCCAGAGAAGCUAAGGUUUGAGAUGGGGAUCUGAAGUUGAUGUAGGGUUUCUGCUCAAAUCUGGUGAUGGGCUUUGCAGCUGUUAGUGAUGAAUUAGAAGAUGGGUCGAUUUGAUUAAUGUUUCUGCAGAUGGGUUUGAGGUGGAAUUUGAUUCUGAAGCAGCUAGGAGGUACAGUUAUUGAAGGAUUACAGAGUUUUGAGUUGAAACAAGAAAUCAAGCCAUGAAUUGGUUGAAUGCAAAUGAAGAUUUCAGAGUUGGUGGUAUUGGUGCUAUGAGACUGGAAGUUGGUUGUGCAGCUGCGAUGAAAGGGUUACUGGUGUUGGAGGCCUGUACACAGUGAGAUGGUGGUGACAGUGAAGAACUGAUUGGAGUUGCAAGUGCAGUUAGAGAAUUGAAGAUUGAGAAGUUGUUGUAGCUGCAGUUACAGAAAAUAGAGGAAUCACUUGUUUUUGUGGUUGUGGAAUGAGCUGCAGCUGCAAUUGCGAGCCAUGAGGUUGAGCUGCAGGUUGCAAGAAGAGGAAACUGUGACUGAGAUGGAGUGGCAGGUGAUGAUAUAAUGGCCAGAAGUGGUGGUUGAACUGAGAGGAAGCAAGAAGGGAAACUGGAGGAGUUAUGGUGUUACUAUUGCCGUGAUGGGAGUGUGCCAUUAAGCUGAAAUGGGUUGGACUUGGUAGAGUAUAUGGAGCUGCUGCUAAUGAUGUUAAUGUUGCUUCUCAAAGCUGAAUUGCAAGAAGGAGUUGUGCUUUGAAAUGGCCUGAACCUAGAUGUAUGUUAGGACAGGUACAAAUUACAGGAGCUAAUGGGAAGCUAUUGAUGUUUAUACAAUGCGGAGAAGAAGUUGCAGGCUUGAAGUUCAGUUGCAGUUUCUGGUGGUAUGAGUUAUGGACUGUGGUGCAGGUUAAAUUUAGAAGAUGUUUUUGCUUGUAAAGAUGGAACUGAGCUUGGAAAUAUGUUGCUGAGAAUGAAUGAACCUGUGACAGAAUGAGGAGAUGCAGGUUGCAGUUGGAGAUGUGUUGCGACAGUCAAGGAGCUUGAACGAGGAAGAAGUCAAAAUGUUGCAGGAAUUGCAGGAUGCACAUCCAUCAUGGCUGGAUAUGAGUUGGUGAUGUACAAUGAUUGUGCUGCAUAAGUUCAGGCCUUGGAAAAGCAUUCAGUUCUGACUCAGGUCUGACUAGACCACCUGACUCACUUCAACUCGGUCUGACUUCUAAGUUGACCCGAGUUGACCCACUUGAACAGUUUUUACCGGUGAUUUUUACAGUCACCUGUGAAUUUUACUGGGCUAUUUUCUACAUGGGUAUUUUUUACAUACGGGCUUGGUGGACUUCUUUGUGAUGGACUUUGGAUUGGAGGAUUGACCUAGUUUUGAAAAGAUGAAAAGAUA